rnacentral:rRNA from 1 species
AUUGAACGCUGGCGGCAGGCCUAACACAUGCAAGUCGAACGGUAACAGGAAGAAGCUCGCUUCUUUGCUGACGAGUGGCGGACGGGUGAGUAAUGUCUGGGAAACUGCCUGAUGGAGGGGGAUAACUACUGGAAACGGUAGCUAAUACCGCAUAACGUCGCAAGACCAAAGAGGGGGACCUUCGGGCCUCUUGCCAUCGGAUGUGCCCAGAUGGGAUUAGCUAGUAGGUGGGGUAACGGCUCACCUAGGCGACGAUCCCUAGCUGGUCUGAGAGGAUGACCAGCCACACUGGAACUGAGACACGGUCCAGACUCCUACGGGAGGCAGCAGUGGGGAAUAUUGCACAAUGGGCGCAAGCCUGAUGCAGCCAUGCCGCGUGUAUGAAGAAGGCCUUCGGGUUGUAAAGUACUUUCAGCGGGGAGGAAGGGAGUAAAGUUAAUACCUUUGCUCAUUGACGUUACCCGCAGAAGAAGCACCGGCUAACUCCGU